rnacentral:tRNA from 1 species
GAGGGUAUAGUUCAGUGGUAGAGUGCAUGCCUAGCAUGCAUGAAGUCCUGGGUUCAAUCCUCAGUACCUCCA